UGGGAGUUGGAGGAGUGAGGGUUAGUGGCAGAGAAGGCCCGAUGAUCGGUCCCUGGAAUUCAACCUGCUCACAGCCUCCAUAAGCACGGCUCCUGGUGUUUGGUGACACAGAAGGAGCAGGCAGGGCAGAUCGAAGGCAGAAGUGGAGUCCUGUGGUUUCUGAACAGGCCAAGAUUCAGUUGAAUAAGAAAUGAAAAGCUGAGAAGAUUGUUGAAGAGCACGGGUGCUUCUCUAGAAGGAGUAAAACCUAGAAAUUAAUUCAAUUGGCAUUUUGAGGGGAGAAGAGAAGAAGAACUGCUACUCCUCUGAGUCAACAUCAUGCAUAGGUUGGGCCGCUGCUGUUACUAUACCAAGAAUGACUGAGGCUGAGUACUUAAAAGAAAAAACUUUGGAGACUGGAAAUCCAAACAGCAUGGCAUCUUCUCAGAUGAGAGAAUCCCUUGUCUUCAUCACCUCAUGGGGAAAAACAUGCAAAAGCAAGAGACACACAGGAAGCCAGAGCGAAGGAGAGACCAGUCUGGGGCUGCCCAAGUAUCGCUUUCUAAAGAUCUCAACAUGUCCCCAUCACCACACCAAGAACCCAGCUUCUAGCACAUGGACCUUUGGGCAAGCCACACCCAACGCCAUACCGACAUUCAGUGCAAGUUAGUCCUCAGGAUGGACGAGGGGUAGUAAGACAA